AACGAACGCUGGCGGCGUGGAUAAGGCAUGCAAGUCGUACGGACCCAGCAUCCGGAUCCUUUCGGGGUGAAGGAUGUGAAGGUUAGUGGCAAAAGGGUGAGGAACGCGUGAGUAACUUGCCUGUGGUUCAAGGAUAACCCGCCGAAAGGCGGGCUAAUACUGGAUAACACUAUAAGGUUUUCGGAUUUUAUGGUUAAAGGUGGCCUCUGACUAAAGCUACCGACCGCAGAGAGGCUCGCGUCCUAUUAGCUUGUUGGUAGGGUAAUGGCCUACCAAGGCGACGAUGGGUAGCCGGUCUGAGAGGACGAUCGGCCACACUGGGACUGAGACACGGCCCAGACUCCUACGGGAGGCUGCAGUCGAGAAUAAUUCGCAAUGGGGGAAACCCUGACGAUGCGACGCCGCGUGAGGGAUGACGGCUUUCGGGUUGUAAACCUCUGUCACUCGGAAAGAAAGGUACGAGAGUGAAUAAUUCUUGUGCUUGACGGUACCGGGAGAGGAAGCUCCGGCUAACUCCGUG
rnacentral:rRNA from 1 species